GGCUAUCAUGUACUUUUUGGGGAGAGUUUGUUGAACAAAUUGUUCCUCAACUUCUAACUUCUGAUAACCAACCUGUUGUUGUUGCUCUUCAACUCAUACAGGCACAUAAAUUUCAAGAUUCCUAUACCGUGUGCAACACUUGGAAUGCCUCUAAGUUGUGGAUUAAUCCAACUGAUGUUGAAUUUGAAGAGUUUAAAAAACUGCUACUUACUGUUCAUCAUAGUAACUUUGACAGAAUAACUCAUACCAUCUCACAGCAAAAUAACUCUGUGUUGGAUGAAUUAUCAAAUGGCACUUUACAAGUCAAGACAAUUUCUAAGUUGUUGAAAAUUGGGUUAUCGAGGCAAAAGUCUUAUCAGGACAUAUGAUUAGACAAAAGGUUUCCAUACCUAGAAUGUUAUUGGCUCCAUCUGAUUUAAGAAUACCCUUUAAGUUUCAAAGAAGAUAGUUUCCAAUAGUUGUAUCAUUUGCCAUGUCUAUCAAUAAGAGCCAAGGACAAUCUUUAUCUCAUUUUGGGCUAUAUUUGAAGAAAGCAGUAUUCACACAUGGCCAGUUAUAUGUUGCACUAUCAUGGGUGACACGAAGACAAGGAUUAAAGAUUUUGACAUAUGAUGAUGAAGGAGAAGUUUCAAAGGAAGCAACUAAUGUAGCGUUCAAAGAAGUUUACCGUAAUUUGAGUGUAGAUUAAAGCUAAUCUGAUCCAAAGGGUAUAACAGGGUCAACAAUAUCAUCAAUUUGUUGAGGGUUAGACUUAGCUUUUUUUAUCAUUCAUAUAGAUAAUAAAAGUUAUUUUUUUC